rnacentral:lncRNA from 1 species
CGGACAAGCAGUACCUUACCUGGGUUUCAUAGAGCUCAACAUGACCUUUCCGCCAGAUUUCCUCGGUUCACCUGUAGAAAUCGACACACUUGCACUUGUUGUACCCGACAUGAAACAGUUUCACCCUCAGAUACUCAUUGGUACUAACACUCUGGAUGUCGCAUACAGCAAACAUUUUGAAACUCACCCUGAUCAGUCAUUCCAACCCACCUCCUCCGGUUACAUCGCUGUGUACAAGAUCCUCCAGCACCGUCAUGCCCAGAACUUGGAUGACCAGUAUUCCACUGUCACCUUACAGUCAAACCAGCCACUUACCAUCUCAGCAGGCCAAACUAUCGUCCUCGAGGGAUGCUUGGUCGCAAGGCUGUUGCAAGGAGAAAAGGCAGUCAUCCUUGAGCACCCAAGUUCCAGCCCUUUGCCUGGUGGACUCAUGGUAAAGACCUCCCUCAUUGACUUACCUCAGCACCGGCCAUGUCAUCUGCCUGUUGUGGUAAGCAAUGAGUCUGACCAUGAGAUCCACAUUCCAGCCCGAGCAGUCAUUGCAGAAAUCAGCACCUUCCAGACUAUUGUCUCAAGAGAUCAAAGUGUCCAUAAUCCAGUCCAGUCUACAGAGUCGUCACAAUCGCCUUCACCGCAAUACAAUUUCGGAGACUCACCUCUAACUCCAGAGUGGAAACAACGCAUCAUUCACAAGCUCAACAGUAUUCCUGAGGUGUUUGCAAAGCACGAUCUGGAUUUUGGCCGGACAGACAAAGUUAAACACCAAAUCAAGCUGUCUGAUCCAACCCCUUUCAAACAAAGGCCAAGACCGAUCCACCCUCAGGAUGUUGACGCUGUAAGGAAGCACUUGCAAGAACUUUUCAGUUCAGGAGUCAUCCGUGAGUCAGAUUCACCUUUCGCCUCUCCAAUUGUGGUUGUGCGCAAAAAGAAUGGAAGUGUACGUCUCUGUAUCGAUUACCGGAAACUAAAUCUUCAGACAAUAAAAGAUGCUUAUGCAUUACCCAAGCUGGAAGACACAUUUUCUGCCCUUUCUGGAUCCAAAUGGUUUACGGUGCUAGACCUCAAGUCGGGCU